GCUGCAAGUGACGUAAUUGUGACGUCUGCUCCAAAGUGGUCGCCACAGGAGGACCGUUCUGAAGUCGCGAUGCAGUGGAAGGUUAAUUAUUAAUAACUGUGUGCGUCCAUUUGAGAAAGAGAACAGAUGGAUAUCUCACAGAACAUCCAUCCAUUAAUUUCCAGAGGAAUGGAGUUCUUUAUUUUACACACGGCGAGUGUUUUACUCCUGCAUGACACACAGACAUCAAGAAUAUAAGACAAGGCAUUAAGUUCAAUCUGUGGAGUGAAGAAAGGGUGCAUUGGGUACUGCUGGAUCAGAUGGAGUGUCCGUGUCAGUGAAGGAAGGAGAUUCAAUGACUUUAUACACUGGUGUCAAAAAAACCCAACAAGAGAGAAUUAAAUGGUAUUUUAAUGACACCUGUGUAGCUCAAAUUAAUGGAGAUCCCAGUAAGAUCUGUGCAGAUAAUCAGUGUCAUGAUGAUAAUGAGAGAUUCAGAGACAGACUGAAGCUGGAUCAUCAGACUGGAUCUCUGACCAUCAUGAACAUCAGGAUCACAGACUCUGGACUCUAUAAAUCACAGAUCAGCAGUGGCAGUGAACAGCUCUUCAGUGUUUCUGCCACUGGUGUUUCUGCUGCUGAACUAGAUGACGUGAAGAGAAAGUCAGUGAAGAAGGGAGAAUCUGUCACUUUAGAUUCUGGUGUAAUAAAAAAACCAAAUGAUGUGAUGACGUGGUAUUUUAAUGACAUUUGCAUUACUGAAAUCACUGGAGGUAAUAUUUGUACAGUUGAACAGAGUGAAGAGCAAAACUCAGAACUUAAAGACAGACUGAAGCUGGAUCAUGUGACUGGAUCUCUGAGCAUCACAAACAUCAGAACCACAGACGCUGGAUUUUAUCAUCUACAGAUCAGCAACAGCGGCAGCAGCUUCAGUAUCAGCAGCAUUAGGAGCUUCAGUCUUUCUGUCAUUGGUCUUUUCGGUGUUAAGACCGAAGGAGAGUCAGUGUCAGUGAUGGAGGGAGAUUCAUUCACUCUAAACACUGAUGUUGAAAAAUCCCAACACAACACAAUUAAAUGGUAUUUUAAUGACACUCGCAUAGCUCAAAUCAAUGGGGAUCUGAAUAGGAUUUUUGCAGAUGAUCAGUAUGUUGAGAGAUUCAGAGACAGACUGAAGCUGGAUCAUCAGACUGGAUCUCUGACCAUCACAAACACCAGAACCACAGACUGUGGAGUUUAUAAACUACAGAUCAUCAACAGCAGAAUCAGUGAAAAGAUCUUCAGUGUUUCUGUCUGUGGUAUUCCUGUUAACGAGACACAUUCAAUGAAGAGAAAGUCAGUGAAGGAGGGGGAAUCUGUCACUUUAGAUCCUGGUGCAAUAAGACACCCAAAUGAUUUCAUGACGUGGUAUUUUAAUGAUUCUUGCAUCGCUGAAAUCACUGGAGAUCUCAGUAAGAUCUGUACAGAUGAACAGUGUGAACAUGCUGAUGGACAGUUCAGAAACAGACUAAAGGUGAAUCAUCAGACUGGAUCUCUGACCAUCACAAACACCAGAAACACCGACUCUGGACUUUAUAAACUGGAGAUAAACUGCAGCAGCAGCAGCAGCAUCCGUCGUCACCACACCAGCAGCAUCAGCAUCAGCAGCUUUAGGAGCUUCAGCGUUGCAGUCAUUGAAUCAGGUCAGUCUGUAGCAGCAAUAUGUGCUGGUGUUGGUGUUUUUCUGCUAGUUUCUGUAGCUGUAACUGCUGGAGUGAUUUACUGUCACAAUAACUCUACACAACCAGGACAAAAUGAGAAUGUUGAAGACUCGUCCCCGACUGAGGCUCCCAGUGUGACAAAAUAAUGUAAAUUAUUAUUAUGAUUCUUUGGACCAGAAGAGAAAAUGAGAAAGCUGAAACUCACAUCAUUCACAAAGAAAGCAAUUGGUAUUCAGUAGAUACCAAUACCAGUCAAACAAAAGGAUUGUAAACCUGUUGUAUAUAAAUGCAACAUGGACCAAAAAUCGGACGUAAUGUCACAAGAUGUGACACUAAAAAGGACAGAAUACUCAACCAUACUUGUUUUUUUCUCAUUGCUUUGUACAUUACUGUUCAGUACAGGUGUCGGAACUGUGCCUUUUUUCAGCUGACCUUUGUUUGUGCAUAACAAAGGAGUUCCUGGUGCUGUUUUGCCUCAUUUAUAAAUUUGAAACGCUCUUCAUGAUUUCUCAACUGGUAAAAACUACCAUAUAAAUGCACAUACACAAAGCACAUUUAGCUUAGCACACAUUAUAGUCUUGGAUGUUUAGUAAGAUCCGCACAAAAUAUACAUCAUAAAAGCUGAUUUGUGUGUGUGUGUGUGCAUGCGUGCGUGUGCGCACGUGUUUUUGUGACAUAUCAAGACACAAAUGUGUAUAAUGACAUGGGUAUGACAUAGGAAUUACAAGAAGAGGUGACUUAUGAG